rnacentral:rRNA from 1 species
UACGUAGGGGGCGAGCGUUGUCCGGAGUUACUGGGCGUAAAGCGCCCGCAGGCGGUGGGGUCAGUUUGGGGUGACAGGUCUCGGCUUAACUGAGACAGUGCCUCAAAGACUGCCGCACUUGAGGGCCACAGAGGGACAGGGAACUCCAGGUGUAGUGGUGAAAUGCGUAGAUAUCUGGAAGAACACCAAUGGCGAAGGCACUGUCCUGGGUGGCACCUGACGCUGAGGGGCGAAGCCAGGGGAGC